rnacentral:lncRNA from 1 species
UCCGGGUGUCAGAAUGGCAUGAAACUUUAAAUCUAGCCUCAUAAAAAUAAUCCUAACAUAUUCCCAAAUUUUCGGAAUUUUCUGACACUGUGCAUUUUCUGCUAAAAUAUCAGCCCCGUCUCUCACAGAAAAUUCUCAAUCUUCUAUUUUCACUCCGAUUUUCGCACAAGUCAAUCCUGACGUAUAAUUUACUUGUCUAAAUCCAAUAAAAAUAGUAUCUCACACUAUUUCUAUUUAUAUUCACUUUUUAUUAAAACAAAUCCGGUAUGCUACAGCCCGGCACGUGCACAGAUCCGCCAUACGUCUAAAAUAUAUAAGGCGUUUAAAACAAACGAUAAAUGAAAUAAUAAA